AGCGAACGCUGGCGGCAUGCCUAACACAUGCAAGUCGCGCGGUCGGGUAACACCGGCAGCGGCGGACGGGUGAGUAGCGCGUAGGAACGUGCCCGGAGGUGGGGGACAACCCUGGGAAACCGGGGCUAAUACCGCAUGGGGCCCGAGGGCCAAAGCCGCAAGGCGCUUCCGGAGCGGCCUGCGUCCGAUUAGCUGGUUGGCGGGGUAACGGCCCACCAAGGCUCCGAUCGGUAGCUGGUCUGAGAGGACGAUCAGCCACACUGGGACUGAGACACGGCCCAGACUCCUACGGGAGGCAGCAGUGGGGAAUAUUGGGCAAUGGGCGCAAGCCUGACCCAGCAAUGCCGCGUGGGUGAAGAAGGUCUUCGGAUUGUAAAGCCCUUUCGGCGGGGACGAUGGUGACGGUACCCGCAGAAGAAGCCCCGGCCAACUUCGUGCCAGCCGCCGCGGUAA
rnacentral:rRNA from 1 species